rnacentral:tRNA from 4 species
GCCUGCUUAACUCAAUGGUAGAGUAUCACUCUUGUAAAGUGAAUGUUAUCGGUUCAAUUCCGAUAGUAGGCU